CACGUAGGGGGCGAGCGUUGUCCGGAUUUAUUGGGCGUAAAGAGCUCGUAGGCGGUUCGGCAAGUCGGGUGUGAAAUUUCGAGGCUCAACCUCGAAACGCCACUCGAUACUGCUGUGACUGGAGUCCGGUAGAGGAGUGCGGAAUUCCUGGUGUAGCGGUGAAAUGCGCAGAUAUCAGGAGGAACACCAGUGGCGAAGGCGGUGCUCUGGGCCGGAACUGACGCUGAGGAGCGAAAGCUUGGGGAGCAAACAGG
rnacentral:rRNA from 1 species